UUCACAUUUUUAGGUCUUUCGUACUCUAAAAUGCCUUGUAUUCGCAACGGGUCUGGUUUGAUUCCUUCUUGUGUGAGGAUAUAUCCUAAAAAAGUGAUUUCCUUCCUGAAGAAGUGACACUUUUUUAGUUUAACAGUGAAGCCCGCUGUUCGGAGGCGUCCGAAAACCCUACUCAGAUGUCUCAGAUGUUCUUCAACAGUAUCUGACAGUAUCAGCAAAUCAUCCAGGUACGUGUACAAGAACGAACUGAAUUCGUGACUAAAAACAGUCCGCAUACAGCGUUCGAAAGAACUGACUGCUGUAGAAAGACCAAACGGAAGACGACAAAAACGAUAACAUUUCGUACCAACCAUGAAACCCGUGAAUUUUUUGUGUUCUUCCUUUAUUGGAAUCUGAUAAUAACCGUAUGCAAGAUCAAUGGAACUCAUUAUCUUGCGUCCUUGGAUUGAUCUAAGAAUUUCCUCUAUAGGUUUCGGACAUUCUCUUUCCGGAACUAACAAGGUGUUGAGAUGCCUAGCAUCUAGGCAGAUUCUGACAGUUGCAUCCUUUUUCAUAGUUGUCAUAAGGGGUGAUACAAACGGAGCUUCCACACAGCGCUCAAUAACACCCCAAGACUCCAUCUGAUCUAAAGCUUGGUUAACAGUCUCCCGGUGAGACAUAGGAAGGGGAUAAGGUUUGACAAAAAAUUCGCUUUCAUCUCUUAAGUGAAUUUCAUAAAAGUAUUCUUCUGUCUUACCCGGAAUUUCUGAAAAAAUAUCAGUAAACUCUUCCAUUAACCUACGGAAGUCAUUUUUUUCGGAAUGUGUCAAAAAAUUUGCAUCCCAAAUAUUUUCUUUUUUUUUUCAUCAAAUAUAAUAUUGUUUUUUAUGGGAUUGCUUUUCAAGACUACUGAAAGACCAACUUCAUCAGGGGGACUAUUCUCAUGAUGGUAGAAAACCUCAGAUCUAAUUUCGCAUGAAAUUUUCUUAAGAAGUCGAUCCCCAAAAUGAAUUCAUAAAUUAAGUCGGCAGUCAACAGAAACUCGUGGGUGAAGACAUGAGAAUUUGCAGAAAAAUCAAGGCACAAAGUUCAGCAAAUGAACGACUUCUGCUGCUAUUCGAGAUACAUCAUCUGCAUGUAACAUGGGAGGCACUGAUGGAGAAUGAAUAGGUCUCAUACCCACAGGGGGAGAAGGCAGGUUAAAGCUCAUGUUCACCCUCACUUCGUGUGGCCGAAGACUGCUCUUGGGUGUUUCUAUAUGUGGGACGUUUGCAUUGACUGGUGCAGGAAGAUUCUGGGCUGAAUUUAAUAAAAGAUUUGUCCUA